AAGUUCUAUUUCAUGAAAACUGUAAAUUGAUUCAGAAGAAGCAAUUAUUUUGAUAUUCUAAACAGUAAAAAGAGUUCAAAGCAAUUAUAUAUCUUUCUUUCUUUUGCCUCAGUUGGUAAAAGCGUUAUUAGUUUUUCUGAGUAAAAAAGCGUUGUUUUGUUGUGCUAUAGUCCCACAUCGCUUACAUGAAAGAAUUAUCAAGUGUUUAUAUAACGCUUUAACACAACAUUGUUUGUCCCUUCGGGGACAUCCGAUAAAAUUGGAACGAUACAGAGAAGAUUAGCAUGGCCCCUGCGCAAGGAUGACACGCACAAAUCGAGAAAUGAUUGAAGCUGAAUGUGUAAGAAUCAAAGAUUACAAACAAAAUCCUAGACGGAUUAAUGAGUUGAUGAAGAUAAUCCAGUUGCAGUAAAGUAAAUCAAUGCAUGCUUAUGACUAUUUGUCUAUCAAUUAUCUUAAUUUUGAAAUGUAGGGUUAAAUUUUUCUAAGGUUUGAUUUUUAUAUCUUACAAUGAAAUGCAGUGUCACUAGAUUUUAUACGAUUGAUAUGAUAUUAACAUGUAUGCAUGUGUUACUGCUAAAUUUGUCAAUAAAAUGUUUUGUGAUAUAAUCAUAUAAAACAUAAUUGAAGUAUUGCUCCUAACUUUUUUGUUGUCUCUUCUUAAUUGCUGAAUUUUAUAUGUCUAUUUACCUUCUUUGUUGAAUGUCUUUUUCUUAUGAUUAAGGAAACAACUUAGAUGUAAUUCAAUUUCAGGAGAAACUGCACUACAAAAUAUAUUGACUUACUUUCAAGUUUUUCUUCUUCAGUUUUUUCUUUUCUAAAAUUCCUAAAACAAAAUUCAGCUGAAUAAACUCUGCGAGAUAUUAAGCAACGGAACCAAUACAACACGGAUAAUUAAUAAGCUCUAAGAAAAACUUAAUAAUAAUGGCUGUAGUUUGCUUUACCACUCCUCUCCAUGCUACUUAGUCUUCCAAUUCAUCGCUAUUGGGUUUCUAUCCCAGUAAGAACAAUUUUUUGAGUGUUUCGUGUCAAAUUCCCAUUUGCAUAGGUCAUAGUAUAGUAUCAACACCUUUUUUCACCCUUUUUCUUGAAUUUUACUCCUUGAGGUGCUACAACCUCCAUUGAUAGAUGGAGUUGGGACUUCCCACAUUUGCUGCUCUCUUGUUGAACAUCUUUCUUCUCAUUCCAUCCUUAAACUUAACUGAGACUAGGACAGUUAAGGCUGAAGCCUCUAUUAAUCUGCGUGAUUUCAUGGCAGCUAACAUCUCUGUUAGCGAAACUGGAUAUCUUCUGACCUUGUAUGACAAUGCUGCAAAGGGGGUUGACAUAAUCAUCUGGCCUAAUAUUGUAUAUCAGUCUAGGGUCCAAUGCACUGUGGAAUCACAGUUUGCUUUACCACUCCUCUCCAUGCUACUUAGUCUUCCAAUUCAUCGCUAUUGGGUUUCUAUCCCAGUAAGAACAAUUUUUUGAGUGUUUCGUGUCAAAUUCCCAUUUGCAUAGGUCAUAGUAUAGUAUCAACACCUUUUUUCACCCUUUUUCUUGAAUUUUACUCCUUGAGGUGCUACAACCUCCAUUGAUAGAUGGAGUUGGGACUUCCCACAUUUGCUGCUCUCUUGUUGAACAUCUUUCUUCUCAUUCCAUCCUUAAACUUAACUGAGACUAGGACAGUUAAGGCUGAAGCCUCUAUUAAUCUGCGUGAUUUCAUGGCAGCUAACAUCUCUGUUAGCGAAACUGGAUAUCUUCUGACCUUGUAUGACAAUGCUGCAAAGGGGGUUGACAUAAUCAUCUGGCCUAAUAUUGUAUAUCAGUCUAGGGUCCAAUGCACUGUGGAAUCACAGUUCCAGCUCCCAUGGCUAAAGCUUGAUGUGUGGUCAGUCACAUCUUCUUUUGUCAUGAUUUCAGAUUUGACAGCUGUAAGGCUCCAUCUUGCGUGAGCUGAACAGAAAAGAGUUUAAAUUCCCCUGACAUGAGGUCAUGUCAUUGAGGUACCUUACAUGACAGAGAAGUUCACACUUUUAGUGUGUCCUCUGGAAGGCCUAUCGGACCAAGGUUCUGAGACCAUACAGCAAUGACAAUGAGGUUGAAUCCUGGCGCUAUAAGAUCUAGUUUGAGGAUUGAAGGGUUUGUAAAACUUGGCCCUCUGACUGAGAAUCUUGUGUACACUUUGCUAUUACAGUUCCUCAAAAUUCAAUCCUAGCAAGUGGCCUUGUUGUGGAGUUUAUGUAAGAUUUCAAGUCGCCUAAUUCAUCAAAUCCUACCAAUAUUGCAGGCAUGACACAUGUACAUCAACCAAAUUUUCUUCCAAGUUUAGCUCUGUGUUUGCCAAGAUCAUAGAAGCACCACCUGUUUCUUCACAACUUGACCCUUUUCUGAUCUUCUGUUAACCCCACGAUUGCAUAUUUUUCCUUGAAUUUUGUCCUUUGGAAGAGACACUUUGAGGCAAAAGUGCUUCUUCCAAGGUUAGUUAUUGGGAUUCUGCAUAUUUGCUCUGGAUGUAUUAUGCUUAUAAGUUAUAAGGCAUGUGUGUUUUUUAACCGGUUUUUCCCAUAUUUGAGUUUGAUUGGAUUUUAUAUUUGAGUAGGAAGAAUGAGGCAUGCCCAUUAUCUUCUCUGGUAUUUGAUCGCAGAAACCUGGUAUAAGUAAUGAGUUGUUUACUGUGUUCAAUUUUGUUAUUUUUUGUGCCUUCAAAUUUAUGAAAUGUGACUUCGUUUGGAAAUGUCUUAUUUAAUAUUAUUUAAGUGUUUGUUAUUAUACAUUGUUUGUUGAUUUUGCUGGCUUUGCCUAUCCACUUUGAGCUGGAUAUUUAUUUAUUUUUUGAAUGGUUGAGCUGGAUAUUUAUUGUAACUGUCAUUUUGAGACUAGCACUACUGUUUUGCUUCAAUAACUUAGUGUUGGCACUUGGCAUACAUAUCAGGAAACUUGACGACUCUUAAUUUUGAAAUGGAUUUUAUUAGGCAUACGUAUUUUGAAGUAAUAUUUGUCUAUGUUCAACAUUAUUUGUGUACUUCAUUUCCUUAACAUAUCUCUAUGGGUUGUCCAGGUGAAGGAAUAUGAUUGGAAUUAUUCAGCAUCGCCAUUGUUCCCUCUUAAUGUCUGAAAUAAUUUGAAGUUUUGUUGCUGAUUUUAGGGUUUUUAUUUUUGCAGAUUGAAGCUGAAUGUGUAAGUAUCAAACAUUACAAAUAAAACCCUAGACGGAUUAACGAGUAGAUGAAGCUAAUCUAGUUGCAGUAAAGUAAACUAAUGCAUACUUAAGGCUAUUUGUCUGUUGGUUAAUUAUCUUAUUUUUGCAAUAUAGGGUUAAUUUUUUAAACUGUUUGAUUUUAAUAGCUAACUUAAUACUCUGAUUUUGAAUCAUAUAUUAUUAUGUACACAAUUUAUUCAAUGGAAUUAUUCAACUAGUUGAUUUGUAUGUUCUGUUCAUUUUUUUUAAUUUUUUUUUGGUGAUAUGAUCAAAUAAAACAUGACUGUGAAGUUCAAUUUAACCCCUUUUGUUUUUUUUGUCUAUUUACCUUGUCUUUUUUCCUUAUGGUAAAGAAAACAACUGAGAUGUUCUUGUAUAUGAUUUUGGAGAUAAUUGAUUGAUGCAGUUCAAUUUCAUGAGAAACUGCACUGCAAAAAUUUGUGUGUGAAAAUUCUGAUUCAAGAAACAAGUAAAGACCAAUUAUUUAACCUUUAUAAAUGGACUUACUUUUAAUAUUUCCUUCUUAAGUUUUUCCAUUAGAGAUGCUCUAAGACUCCUGAUAGUCUAAUAGAAAAUUCAGCAUAAACUUUAGACAAACUAAUAAUGACAGUAGCCUAUUGUACUAGUAUGUUUCUCCAUGCUACUUAGGCUUCCAAUUCACUGCUAUUGUUGGGCUUCUAUCUAUGUAAGAACCAUUUUGUUAGUUUAUACAUGUCAAAUGCCCUUCUGCAUUGGUCAUGGUAUCCACACACAUCUUGUAAUAGUGUAACUCAUGCUUUGAUUCUUUGUUUAAAUAGCAGCUUCUUGUGUUUCAUUUUGACUUUUACUCCACGAGGUGCCGCAAACAACGUCCACUGAGUAGAUGGAGUUAGGACCUCCCAAAUUUGCUACCCUCCUGCUGAACAUCUUUCGCCUCAUUACAUCCACCGAGAUUGAGGGAUAGUUAAGGCUGAACAAUCCUCUAUUCAUCUGCAUGAUUUCAUGACAUCUAACAUUGCUUUGCGUGAUACUGAAUAUUUUUGAUCUUGUAGAAUCAAUGUCGCAAAGGUGGUUGACAUAUUCAUCUGGCCUAAUAUCAUAUAUCAGUCAUGGAAUCAAUGCUGCUAUUUGUGGAUUAACAUUUCCAUCUCCCUUGACAAAAGCUCCAGCUGAUUUGUCUUCGUCAAGUACUGGUCUUCCUGUGUAUCAGUUACAUCUUCCAUCUUGGUUGAGCUGAACGGAUACGAGCUGCAAUUGCACUAACAUGAGGCGUGGAUGACAUGUCAUUGAGGUACCUGACAUGACAGAGACGUUCAUUCUUCUGAUGUUCUCUGGAAGCCCUAUCGGACAAAGGUUCUGAGGCCAUGCAACAAAUAAUCUCGACUCUUGGAGAUAUAACAUCUCGGUUUAAGGAUUGAAGGGUUUGUAAAACUUGGCCUUCUGGCUGAGAAUCGUGUAAAUGCUGGUUCUCUAGAUCUAGACUUUCAUAUUACAGCUCCUCCAAAUUCAAUAUCAGCAAGUAGCCUUGUUGUGGAUUUUAUGUAAGAUUUCAAGGUGAGUGAUUCAUCAAGUCAUACCAAUGUUGCAGGCAAGACAAUAACAUCAACCGAAUCUUCUUCCAAGUUUAGUUGUGUUUGGCAAGAUCAUAGCAGCACAACCUGUGAUAGAACACCUAGGCAUAUCUAGAAGGAAGUGGGACUCUGGGGAGAGAGUGAGAGUUAGUUAGAGGUGUUGGGGUAUUUUUCCUUGCGAUUCUGUUAGAGAAUGUUAUUAAAAACAGGGUAGUGGUGAGUAUGGGAAUCAUUCAGAGAUAUUGUUAGAAUUGAUUAGGAGAGUUUUCUCUCUGGUUAGGAAUCUUUGACUCUGGUUAUCAUUUUCCUUCAUUGUAGAGCCUUUGAGCUCAUCUUUAUUACUUUAAUAAUACAGUUUCCUUAUUCAUAA